UACGGGGGGGCAAGCGUUGUUCGGAAUUACUGGGCGUAAAGGGCUCGUAGGUGGCCAACUAAGUCAGACGUGAAAUCCCUCGGCUUAACCGGGGAACUGCGUCUGAUACUGGAUGGCUUGAGUUCGGGAGAGGAUGCGGAAUUCCAGGUGUAGCGGUGAAAUGCGUAGAUAUCUGGAGGAACACCGGUGGCGAAGGCGGCAUCCUGGACCGACACUGACGCUGAGGAGCGAAAGCCAGGGGAGCAAACGGG
rnacentral:rRNA from 1 species